rnacentral:rRNA from 1 species
UACAGAGGGGUGCGAGCGUUUAAUCGGAAUUAGCUGGGCGUAAAGCGUGCGUAGACGGUUAUUUAAGUCCGGGGUGUCGAAAGCCCCGGGCUCAACCUGGGGAAUUGCAUUCGAGACUGAAUAGCUAGGGUACGGGUAGAGGGAAGUGGGAAUUUCCGGUGUAGCGGUGAAAAUGCGUAGAUAUCGGAAGGAACAUCGAGUGGCGAAAGCG